rnacentral:rRNA from 1 species
ACAUUAGCAUGGGAUAAUGGAAUAGGACCCUGUCCUCCUAUUUUCAGUUGGUUUUGGCAGCGCGAGGACUAGGGUAAUGAUUAAUAGGGAUAGUUGGGGGCAUUAAUAUUUAAUUGUCAGAGGUGAAAUUCUUGGAUUUAUGAAAGAUUAACUUCUGCGAAAGCAUCUGCCAAGGAUGUUUUCAUUAAUCAAGAACGAAAGUUAGGGGAUCGAAGACGAUCAGAUACCGUCGUAGUCUUAACCAUAAACGAUGCCGACCAGCGAUUAGGAGACGUUGAAUACAAAACACCACCAUCGGUGCGGUCAUCCUUGGCGCGGGGCUUGUCAAAAGCCAGCGCGGGGGUGGGUUAUACCGGGGGGGCCGGUGAAAGAGACCCUAU